GGUAUAAGGCAAUUAUACCGUGAAACUGCGAAUGGCUCAUUAAAUCAGUUAUCGUUUAUUUGAUAGUACCUUACUACUUGGAUAACCGUGGUAAUUCUAGAGCUAAUACAUGCUGAAAACCCCAACUUCGGGAGGGGUGUAUUUAUUAGAUAAAAAACCAACGCCCUUCGGGGCUUCUUGGUGAUUCAUGAUAACUUCACGGAUCGCAUGGCCUUGCGCCGGCGACGGUUCAUUCAAAUUUCUGCCCUAUCAACUUUCGAUGGUAAGGUAUUGGCUUACCAUGGUUUCAACGGGUAACGGGGAAUUAGGGUUCGAUUCCGGAGAGGGAGCCUGAGAAACGGCUACCACAUCCAAGGAAGGCAGCAGGCGCGCAAAUUACCCAAUCCCGACACGGGGAGGUAGUGACAAUAAAUACUGAUACAGGGCUCUUUUGGGUCUUGUAAUUGGAAUGAGUACAAUUUAAACCUCUUAACGAGGAACAAUUGGAGGGCAAGUCUGGUGCCAGCAGCCGCGGUAAUUCCAGCUCCAAUAGCGUAUAUUAAAGUUGUUGCAGUUAAAAAGCUCGUAGUUGAAACUUGGGCCUGGCUGGCAGGUCCGCCUCACCGCGUGUACUUGUCCGGCCGGGCCUUUCCUUCUGGAGAACCUCAUGCCCUUCACUGGGUGUGUUGGGGAACCAGGACUUUUACUUUGAAAAAAUUAGAGUGUUCAAAGCAGGCCUUUGCUCGAAUACGUUAGCAUGGAAUAAUAGAAUAGGACGUGCGGUCCUAUUUUGUUGGUUUCUAGGACCGCCGUAAUGAUUAAUAGGGACAGUCGGGGGCAUCAGUAUUCAAUUGUCAGAGGUGAAAUUCUUGGAUUUAUUGAAGACUAACUACUGCGAAAGCAUUUGCCAAGGAUGUUUUCAUUAAUCAGUGAACGAAAGUUAGGGGAUCGAAGACGAUCAGAUACCGUCGUAGUCUUAACCGUAAACUAUGCCGACUAGGGAUCGGGCGAUGUUCUUUUUCUGACUCGCUCGGCACCUUACGAGAAAUCAAAGUUUUUGGGU
rnacentral:rRNA from 1 species